CCCAGGAGCUGUGUGUGUCUGUGUGUCUGUCUACCUGGCAAGGAGAUAUGGCCCCCAUCAGACUGGAGCUCCACAGAGCAGGUCAAGCGAUUCUCCUGCCUCGGCCUCCCAAGGAACUGGAACCACAGGCGCGUGCCACCGCGCCCAAGGAUUUUCACUUUUAACUGUACAGUGAAGCACAGACUUCUGAGCCAGACUGCUUGGUCUGAACUCUGGUGUCACCACUUAGUAAGUUCUGGUUUGAAUGUACUCACUGAGUGGUCUUCAUAAAUUACCUCUCUGC
rnacentral:antisense_RNA from 1 species